rnacentral:rRNA from 1 species
UACGUAGGCAGCAAGCGUUGUUCGGAGUUACUGGGCGUAGAGGGUGUGUAGGCGGUUGCUUAAGUUUGGUGUGAAAUCUCCCGGCUCAACUGGGAGGGUGCGCCGAAUACUGAGUGACUCGAGUGCGGGAGAGGAAAGUGGAAUUCCUGGUGUAGCGGUGAAAUGCGUAGAUAUCAGGAGGAACACCGGUGGUGUAGACGGCUUUCUGGACCGUAACUGACGCUGAAACACGAAAGCGUGGGUAGCAAACAGG